AAAUAUUUUUCAUUACAAUAUAUAUAUUUAUAAACCGCAUAUUUUUGUUUAUUAUAAAAAUGCUUCGUAAUUGUAUCGUAUCAAAAAUGCCAUUUUUUAACUUUUUAUUUAUGAAUCGUCUAUAUCAUCAAAAACUUAUAACAAAACAUUCUUUAAUGUGUAUAAAUUAUACACAUAAUUUAGCUGGUAAACAACAAAGAAUAAAAGAAAAUGUGCAACCAGUUAAUAAAUUUGCUUCAAGAUCUCAUACAUGUGGUGAACUAAGACUACAAAAUGUAGGAGAGAAUGUUCAAUUAUGUGGGUGGUUAGAAUUUUUAAGAGCUGACAAAUUUUUGGUAUUGAGAGAUUCUUAUGGUUCUACACAAUUUAUUAUACCUACACAUAGAAAGGACUUACGAGAAAUGGCUAGGAAUUUGACCUUUGAAAGUAUAUUGAGCAUAGAAGGUAGAGUAUUAAAAAGACCAAAGGGUCAAAAGAAUAAGUGCAUGGGAACUGGAGAUAUUGAAGUAGAAAUAAAAUCCUUGAAAGUUUUAAACAUAGCAAGUUUAAAUAUUCCAUUUAUUAUUAGAGACUAUAAUAAGGCAAAUGAAAACGUACGAAUGAAGUAUAGAUACAUAUCAUUAAGAUAUCCUGAAUUACAAAAGAAUUUAAGAUUACGUUCAGAAGUGAUAAUGAAGAUGAGAGAAUACCUAAUUAAAGAAUGCAAUUUUGUCGAUAUUGAAACUCCAACAUUAUUUAAAAAUACUCCUGAAGGAGCACAUGAAUUUAUAGUCCCAACAAAACUCUUGGAUCAAUUUUAUUCAUUAGUACAGAGUCCCCAACAAUUUAAACAAUUAUUAAUGGUUGGUGGCUUUGAUAGAUAUUUUCAAGUUGCAAGAUGUUACAGGAAUGAAAAGCCUAGACAUGAUAGACAACCUGAAUUUACACAGCUGGAUAUUGAAAUGUCAUUCGUUGAUUGUGAAGGAAUAAUGAUGUUAAUUGAAAACUUAUUAGCAUAUUCUUGGCCUCAAGAAUCAGGAGAAUUAACUAUUCCUUUUAAACACAUAAAAUACGAGGAUGCAAUGGAAUUAUAUGGUACAGACAAACCAGAUUUACGAAUACCACAACAACUUUGUAGACUGACGGAAUUAAUUGAUCAUUCAGUAUUAGAACAAAGUUUAAAAAUGGAACAAAAUGAACACUGUGAAGUUUAUGCUCUAGUUUUUUCCCAAAAACAUGAUUUUCUUACAAAAUCUAUCAAAGAUACUAUAUCUGAACUACAGUGUACUUAUUUCCCUUCUGUGAAAUUAAUACAAACAAAGAUACCUAACAAAUCGCCAGUAAUAACAAAUAUUAUUGAUGGAAAUGUACAACAAAAGUUAAAUUUAAAAAAAGGAGAUGUACUGUUUUUAGCUUGUGGAGAAAAAGUAAACACGCAAUCACUAUUAGGAAAAGUACGUCUUGAAUUUACAAAGUUUUUAGAAAGUGAAGAUCAAGAAAUCUUUACUAGUAGGAAUGAAUUAUUAUGGAUCACUGAUUUCCCUUUAUUUUCGUUUAAUACUGAAACAAAUUCAUUAGAAACUAUGCAUCAUCCAUUCACGCAACCUCAUCCAGAUGAUAUGCAAUAUCUUAUGAACAAUCCACUGAAGGUUAGAGGAUUGCAUUAUGAUUUGGUUAUGAAUGGUUUCGAGAUCGCAGGAGGAUCGAUACGAAUCCAUGACUCAAAAUUACAAAAACAACUAUUUAAGAUGCUAAAUAUAGAUGAAACACACUUAAUGCAUGUACUUGAUGCUUUAGAAUCUGGUGCUCCACCUCAUGGUGGAAUUGCUAUAGGAUUGGACCGUUUAAUGUGUUUGCUCUGUAACACAGAAAAUAUAAAAGACGUGAUAGCAUUUCCAAAAACUACUACAGGUCGAGAUUUAAUGUCAGGAGCUCCGGGUCCCAUUUCUGAGGAAAUAAAAAGAUUCUAUAACAUACAGACGGUAGACAAAUAAAACAAUAUUCAAGAAGUAUCUUUUGUAUUUUUUACUCUAUUGUAAAAAUAUUUAUAAGAGGCUAGCUGGUCAUAUUCACUUCAAAAACAGAAGUGAAAAGGGAGAACACUAAUGUAAUAUUAACAAAGUCAAUCAAACAAUGUGAACUAAGGAUAAGGGCCUCUAGUGGUCAGUGCCCGAACUAUAUGCACAUUUCUUUUCCGAUGCUCUGGGUGAAAGAAAUGUGCAUAUGUACGACGAGAAGGGAAAUUCGUAUUGACGAUCGGCGAAGGAUAAGGGUAAAAAAAUAUAAAAAUUACUUGAAGACUUAAUGAAAUAUUAGAAGUAAAUUCCUUUCCUUUGUAUUGUAAAAAUAACAAUAAGGAUACUAAGGAUACAACUGGCAACAACGAUUAUUAGAAAUGAUUAUACAGUACAAUAAAAAAUGAGAUUAUUUGUUGUAAGAUAAUUAUAUGAAUGUAUUUAGAAAUAGUUUCAAUAAAUCAGACCGUAGUUUAACAACAUUUUACAAUCUUGUUGUUUGUCCUUGUCACUCUCCAAUUCCAUAAAAAUAAAAAAUCAAAAAAUGCAAUCGGGAAAUAUUUAAGAACGCGUGGAACUUUAAGAGGUAUAGUAUAACAAACGACCGCGAAAUAGUUUUCAAAAAUUCCGAGAUGUGAUGUCAAAUUCCAAGUAUUAUUGAAAUAGUGCUGCCUCUUAUAAUAUUAUAUUCUCCUAUUAUAAAAUCGAGAUUUUGAUGAAAUAUUUUUUCAAGAACCCAAAAAUAUAAUCUAAAAAAUUUCUGGAAUGUAAUGUUAUUUUCGAAUUGUACCACUUCCUAUUACCAUGUUUUCCUGAUACAAAAUCGCUAUUUUAGCCGAUAAAUUUUUUAUUCUCAUAUGUCCUUAGAAAAUUACCUGUUUUCAAGAAUUUGAAAAGAUUCGAAAUACCUCUUAUGUUGUUUUAUUCUCUUAAUAUUUAUCAAAACUUAUCAAUUUUCUCAAACUCUUUCGUCGUUUUUUAUAACUUGUUCGUUAAACUUUUGGAAACUUAUUGGAAAGGAUUUGAGGAUUUUAUUCAUUUGCAAAAUAAAAUUAUUUUAUUCAAUUCAAUCUGUAAGUUUAUAAGAAUUGUAUAAUUCUACAAUGAGUUCGUAAUUUUCUGUAUAACAAUUUGUGUAAUCGCGUACUUUUAUAAUAAUUUCAUUCCGUUAAUUAAUCGAUAGAUCUAAAACAAUUCCUCUCAUACGAAAAUUGAAAAUGACGAUCAAAACCUAUAAGAGCAUUGAUUCAUCGGUGAUAAGAGUUCGCAAUAGAGCCUAUUUUUGGUCAGUUCCGUACGAUCUGAUACUAACAUACAUUUUCACCUCUUGCUAUGCAUACGCACAUUUCUCCCGUCAAAAACAUCGUAGGAAGAACUGUGCAUAUAGUUCGAUCGUUUGAUCACUAGAGGUGAUAAUUUGUGAAGCGUAUUUUUGGCUAAAUUCCUCCCAUACUCAUCAGUGAUCUUCGUAUUAUAAUAAUUCCUACUUAAUGUUCGCUUUUUUUGCCAUAUUUUGGACAUAUUCUUAUAUUCACUCACUUAUAUUUUACCUCGAUUAAUGUUCUUGUAAUCACCUUCAUCAAUUCUUAGGACUGUUUCUCCAAAGCGAGUAUGUUCAUUUGCCGUAAAUAUGUCUCACUCUCGCUCCCAAUGCAAACUGAGCUGAACGUACUGAAAAAAGCAAUUCCUGGGAUACACCUUUCUAGAUAAUAUUCACCACGUGAACCCAACCAACGUACAUUAAGCGGGUAGUAGUGUAUAUGAACAUUUAUAUGUAUAUUACUUUAUGACAUUAAUUUUAUAAGAAAAUCUCAUACGUUUCAUUCAUCUGUAAUCAAAGUAAAUACUCAAACUUUGGUAUUCUGCUUUUCUUAAGGUUAAAAAAAUGCAUAAACAUGUUUACUCUAUUCGAGUCUAUGAUCCAAAUAAAAUUGAAUAUAUAUACUUUCAA